CGUUUUCCUUUUCUUUACAGCUUCCGGAAAGGGUGGAGGCAGCAGAUUUGGGUGGGGAAGGUUUAUUGGCAGCGCCAAGCGGUGUUUGUUUUUAUUUUAUUUUUCACUGAGGAGGGUCGAUGGAACCAUGAACGGUAGCUUAUGAUCAGUGCUUAUUUCUAAAAAAAAUGUUUAGGGGUACAGUACCAUAGCUGUCAACUUACAGAUUUGAAAAUAAGGGACCAGCAGCCUCGAAAAUAAGGGAUCAGCAGCCAAAAUAAGGGAUUUUAGUCAACCAGCUGAAAUACGAAGUUAAAAGGGACCAGAUAAUUUGGGAGAGCAGCGCCGGUUUUUAGCCCUUCACUUCCAGAGGUUGCUGCUCAAGACACCAGCUGAUGAAACACUGCAAUUAAAUAACUACAAGCAGCAACCACUUUUCACGCAAAACAAAGUCCAAGCUACGAAGAUGCUGCUGCAGUUCUGUAUCUUUUCUCUCGUGCUCCAUCUGCAGCUCUCAGUUCCAUCAGGCGGGGUGGGAGGAAGGGGGGGGGAAAUAGCGCCCGUAGUAAACCCGCAGAUCAGACCAUCUGUGCUAGUCUACCACUACAAAUCUAUGGGAGAAGCGCUUGCGGUCCUUCCCUUGUAGCCCUUGGAACACCUCCCCGCGCCUCCUCCUCUUCCUCCUCUCUCUGAACUGCUUUCUCUAUGGUUGCCCUUGCUAUCCUCUCAAGGCUCCUCAGCAAUUCAUAGGCCGCGCCAGGCUGCCCAUCUCAUCCGGGUCCUUCGGCAGCGCAGCCGCAGUACAGCCUAGCGGGAGCGGCGGCAGCGGCAGGCAGAGAGGAGGAUGGCAGUGGAAGGGUCCGAGGCUCCCACCAUUCCCUGCGGGGAGGGGCUCCCAUGGGCCGAGGCUGUUGAGAGGAGGCAGCCAAGCAACACAGUUGGAGCCUCCCUCCUCCCUGGCUGGCAGGGAGGGAGGGAGAGGAGCUGCUUCCUUUGAAACCUGGGAAAUUUAAGGGACAUCAUCAAUAAGGGACAGGAGCAGGACACGGCGCUGGGAUAAGGGAGUUUCCCACCAAAUAAGGGACGGUUGACAGCUAUGUACAGUACUCUCAUUUUGACUCAAGAAAAUCAUAAUUUUGUAGUUCAAAUCGGGGAAAACAAACACAGUAAAAGGACAUUGGGGGUAGCGAUAGAACUGACGAUUCACCAUGCUAGAGAAGAACCUAAAAAAUUCAAAAAAAAUAGUUUCUUCUCCCGUUAGAUUCACAAAAUGUUUAGUGGUAACCCCAGAAAAAAAAGAGCACUGCUUAUAAUAACAUUUAUCUUGUAGGCUCAUUCGAUCAUAUGUGGUAAGUUUUAUUUUAUUUAUUUUAAUUGAUGAAUUUAUAUGCUGCCCUAUACCCAGAGGUCUCAUGGCAGUUCACAGAAAAGAUCACAAUAUAUAAAAUCAAAAUAAAAACAAUAACCCAAAGAAGAGCCACAUUUUUAAAAUGUCUAUCAGGUCAGCCAAAGGCCUAGUUAAAAAGGAAUUAUUUUUGCCUGGCGCCUAAAGGUGUAUAAUGAAGGCACCAGGCGAACUUCCCUGGGGAGAGCAUUUCACAGAUGGAAUUAAAAGGAUUUGUGGAAAUUUCAAAAAUGAUAAAAACGGACGUUCAUACAAGAAUCACACAUUGUCUCAAACGUUAACAAACGAGCCCGGCAAUCCUGUAUACACUUACUUGGUUUAAGUCUCAAUGUGGUUAGUGCAGCUGACUUAGGAUGAGCGUAUUGCCAAGCAACAAUACACUUACCUGGGAGUAAGUCCUAUUGAACUCAUUGGACUUACUUUCGAGUAGGCGUUGUAUAGGAUUGCACUCUUAAAAGGGCGUAACAGUUUUGUGGACUAGUGUUUUUCAGAUGCCACAUUAUGGUUCAUUGCUUUUGCUGCCGCAGGCUAGCAUGUCCAUCGCUACAGAAGUUAAAACAGAUGUCUGCAGAUUCAAAACUGGUGCUGCUGUCUAUAUCUGUUGGAUAUUACUGUGUAUAUAUCUUGCUUCAUAAAGAGCAAGCCCUGUUUUUACUUGGUCAGUUUGUGUGGAAAUACAGUGGUACCUCAGGUUAAGUACUUAAUUCGUUCCGGAGGUCUGUACUUAACCUGAAACUGUUCUUAACCUGAAGCACUACUUUAGCAAAUGGGGCCUGCUGCUGCUGCCACGCCGCCGGAGCACGAUUUCUGUUCUCAUCCUGAAGCAAAGUUCUUAACCUGAAGCACUAUUUCUGGGUUAGCGGAGGCUGUAACUUGAAGCGUAUGUAACCCGAGGUACCACUGUACUGUAGUGAAAAGGCAGAAAUCCAGUGACUAAUGUAAGACCCCCCUAUUCCUCAUGAAUGUGAUUUUGGUAGCAAUUACAUGAGAUUGUCGUCAUCAAAACACCAGCCUAUAUUUCUCCCCCUUUCCCCCUAUGGAGCUCUAGCAAUUCUACAUGAAGCAGUGACUGUAGACAGGCAUUACUUUGUCUUAUUUUAUGCUCUGCCUGACUUUUAGUGACAUUAGGCUGCUUGCUUCUAAUUGGAAUUCCUUGUUGAAGAACUCCUUUUACGUUAUUAUCUGUAGGGCGGGCGGCCGCACUGAUGGACAUCAAGGUUCAAAGAACAGCUUGACCUGUCAUAUAGCUGUUUUAUAUUUAUUAAUUUUAUUUUUAUUUAAAUUCUUUUUUAUUAAAUUUCUGUUAAAAGGAACAAAUGGCAAUCCUCAUACACACAUAUAAUCUACCUCACCAUGAAAUGUUGCAAUUCAAACCCAGAUGUGGACUGUUUAAUUGUGAUGAGUUUAUUCCUUUCACAGGUCAUAAUCUUGAAUGGUUAUGGGAACACAAAUAGUCCCUAUAUAUUCCUCAUGAACAAAAAACUGGAUCUCUUGUAGUCCCUCGCAAGACUGGGGGCAUAUUGCAACUAUGCAAGCUUGAAAACACUAAUUUAUAUUGGUGCUCAAAAUAAUUAUAGACAUCUCAGUGACUGAAUCGUGUAGGUUUGAAAGCUUAAUGAAAAAUAUGAAGGCACAAUUAAGUCCACAAACCCAUGCAUGUUUACUUGGGAUUAUAUACAACUGAAUUCACUUACCGUAUACAGUACUUACUUCCAAGUAAAUAUGCCUCAGCAAAUGAGCCCUAACAGGAGUAUAUGUGAGAAGGGCUCCACCCAGAGGAACACAAAACAGAAUGCAGUGGUGAUAAACCAGAGCAAAUACAGGUGAAAACAGGAUAAUUUUUGUGCCUUUAUAAGGAGUGCAUACCAUAUUUUAACCUUCAUUUUAGGAAAACUACAGUAUUUAGAGGAGUGGCUGGUUUAGAAGACUUGGCUGUGAGUUUGUUCCUAACCGUGGUUCCUUGCUUUGUAGUCCCUCAAAUUUAUUUAACUGGGCUAAGUAAAAAUGGAUUUGGUAAAAUAUGCUGUCUGUCUCAAAUACAGCUGAUAGAUUUUACUCAAGAGCUUGCAUUAAAUCAACUCUAUUUGGUAUUGAAUGAUAAAGCAAAAUAUCCUCAUAUACUAUAGAAUCUGGCUAUUCCUUGCUCAGAAGCUGCUUUUGUGUUAUAACUUCUGAGGUAGUCUAAUGAAAUAUCUUACAGGAGUUAACAGUUUAUACUCCUGUAAACGUCUUUAUCUAAGACCUUUCUGGUGACACAGCACUGCAAGAUCAGCAAAAGCUUCUGAAAUUUUAUAAGAAUGUCUCUUAAAGAAUGACUUUCUCCCUGUAAAGCUAACUGCGGCAGGAACUACCGUCAUGUUAAAACAUGUAUUCCUACUAUAUAAACUCAACAUUUUUUCUUGGCAACACCACAAUCCCUACAGCAGCCCUAUUCUUUUAGUACUGUUGAAUGGCAUAGCAAGAAGAGAAAAGUUGCUUGAUAGAAUCUCAGAUAUUUUAAACAAAACCAGGAAUAUUUUUUCCAUUUAGGCAGCUGGAUAGGAAACAAACUGACCAUGUAUUCUAACCAUGCAGUCCUAAUCAUGCCUACUUAGAAUUAAGUCCUAUUGAAUUAAGUGGAGAUUUCUUCCAGGUAAGUGCAUUUAGGAUUGCAGUCCUAGGUAGGUUGCUAAAAGCUUGAAGUAAACAGUGUGUUGAUUUUUCAGUAGCAUGGUGCUUAUCUAUGACAAGCCUAAACCAUUGCUUUAAUAUCUCACUCUUGAGGCCACUGAGUGCUACAAUGACGGAGUUCUGGGUUUGUUUUAAUUGUUGCAUUGGUGACCAGCUCAAAGUGGUGAGUUGACCUGCGAAUUAAGUUCCAGCUGUUUCCCUUCAGUAAUACAAUGACUUUUAUUUUAUUAUUCCAGGAUCACAAGAUCAUCUGUAAAUUAAACAAAUCCAUUUAGCAUUGUCAGCAAUUGUAUUAUAAGCACAAGCAGAACUGGGGGAAUAAUUAUUAAAGCUUGCUUAGUGACAUUAAGAAAAAAUAUUUAGGAAAUUGACUUCCGCGGAAAUUGUACAGAACAGCACAUGAAAGUUUUCAUUAUGAGGAAAUGGAAAGUGAGCCUGGUUAAAUAGUGGAUAUUCAUUAUAGGUGGAUUAUAAACAAUAUCAACUUGAGAAGCAAAGUGAGGUUCUAAUAAUUCAGCAUUUGUGUGUAAUAUUUAGAAUGGCUAACAACUAUGACUUUCCCAGUUUUAUAAAUCCAAACCAUCUUUUUGAAUGAUACGUGUUUUUCUUUCUCAUGGUACUCCAAAUAAGAAGCCUCCAAGACUUGACCGAAACAUUAUAGGAGAACCAAUGAACUUUGUACCCAUUGCCCACAUUGGAACAAAAGAGAUGGCUAGUGCCCUUCCAUCAGUAAGUAUGUGCUUUAAUAUGUCUUAUCAAAAUCAAAUAUCUUUAAUACGGUCAAUGACCAGCAAGCAAUUUAUAAAAUAAAAUAUGGCAAUAUAAGUACUAUUGUACUACAGAUAACAGUGGAGAUAUGGCCAAAUCACAAAAUUGGUACUUAUGUUUAUGACCAGGUUUCGACUUUUAAGGUUUUAAGGAUUCAAUUCAAAUGUCACUACUGUUUAUUCAUUCCUUCGAUGUUUGCAGUUUGAACUCCGUUGCUGUCAUCAUUGCUCGUCUUAUUCUUGUUGCAAUGUAACAGUACUUCGCCACAGGCCUGUUGAUUUCGGGGUCUUUGUCAGCUAAGAGGUGUCUGAUAUAGGUGUCGUCUGUACUACAAGGUAUUUUCCUCAGAACGAUAAUCCAUAACUGGAUUAUCUAAUAUUGGUAUGAUUAUUACUUCUUGAAGACCUCAGCUGGCUCACAGUUUGAACUGCAGUCGUCUGCAUAUCAACUUGUGAGUAAAUCCCAAUGAAUACAGUGAGGCAUGCUUCUGGGUAAACAUGCGUAUAAUGGAAGGCAUGGUUGUUGCAAAAAAGAAUCUUUAGUAUUAUUGAGUAAAGUGUGUAACCUAAACUUCUUUGCUUGUCUAAAUGUCAAGCAUACAGCAGCUCCAUAUUUUUAUGUAGAAGCUAACCAAAGGUUUAAUAAAUGUACACAAAUUAGUGACAUUAUUUUAUUUUUGAAUACAUAUUAGGACAACCAUGGGCGUAGGCAGGAUUUGUUAGGGGGCAGAAUGUCAGUUAAGUAUUUUUAUUGAUUUAAUUGCUCUAGGGCAGAGGCAAGUAGGAAUUAGGAUUUACUUGCUCUAGGGGGCUACACCAAUGAGGGCAAUCGCUUUAUUGGGCCAAGCAAGAUUUCAAACAAAACAAUGUUCAAAUUUUUGAGUUCACCAGAAUUUAUCAGGCUAGAUCAGGGGUCAGCAAACUGUCCCUCAGAACUUGUGGGGGGCCAGACUAUAUUUUGAAGGGGGGGGAAUGAACGAAUUCCUAUGCCCCACAAAUAACCCAGAGAUGCACUUUAAAUAAGAUUUUACAUUCUACUCAUGUAAAAACAGACCGAUUCCCGGACCAUCCGCGGGCCAGAUUUAGAAGGCGAUUGGGCCGGAUCCGGCCUCCAGGCCUUAGUUUGCCUACCCAUGGGCUAGAUGGCUGAAAGCACAAUGGGGGGGGGGGGAGAAGACUUUUCAAGCAAUCUGAGAGGAGGUAUCAGACAAUCAAAUGAGGCCCGUUCAGGUACAGGUUUGUUGUACCCAGCUCUUUUGGAAGAACACAUAAUAGUUGAGCCUGUCUGCAAACUUAGCAACCAUCUGUUAACUGCAUUCUGCGUCCAUAGGUGAAACACAGCCGACUUUAGUAGAGUUGAUCUUUACCUCUGACUAUAUGGGAACUGCUUAUUUAUACCUGUUCACAUAUCAAAGGAACCUAUGUGUUCUGCCUGAAAAUAGAGGCAGAAUGGAGCUAGUUUUUAAUGUGUGCAGACAUGAAGACUCAAAUCAUUGUUUUCUUUUCCCCACAAGAGUUGGGUGCAACCUGAAACCUGCAAUACACCUGUAGACAUCUUAUCUGAACAUCUGACACUACCUUCCACACUUUAGACUACAGUAUUGUCAGAUGCUGACAAGGAUAGUAGCUUGGAUAGUAUUUUUUCUCUUGCAUUUUUUGUUUUGUUUUACCAUCUAGCCUGAUGAAAUCUUAGGAAACUUAAGUUUGUAUGCAAUUUCACGAAUAACGGUUAGUCAAAUAUAGGUAUUGCCCUAAUGUAUUAUGGAAUUUAUUCCAUUAAUAAUACUUAAGCCAGGCUUUCUGCAUUGGGACUUAGUUUUAAUGCAGUACUUUGACACAAUCUUGUGCAUGCUCACACAAUUCUCACAAGCCAAACUGACCUCAGUAGCACAUAUUCUCAGGUGUAUAUUGGAUUGCAACCUUAAUAACAAUGUCCAGUCAGGAAAGUAUAGUGAAUGCAAGAAUUAUGGACUGAUACAGUUAUACUUCUUCUAGGUCGGGCAAAUUCAGGAACAAAUGAAUUCCAAAGGAGGCUACAACAACAAUAAUUCUUCAACUGCAAAGAUGUAAGAUGUCUGAAUGAGAGAAUGAAAUACCAAUUUGGGGAUGUGAUGCUUUGGAAGCAGCUGGCUGUAAGGCGAAGAACUGACCAAUUUUAUUUUAUACGUUGUUAUAUUUAGACUACUAAUCUGCUGGUAAAGCUGUGAAAUGCUAAAUUUAAUGCCAACUCUUGUUUCUGUCGAAGCCUGUUCAUGCUGGAGACUGAAUCUUGACAUAACCAUUUAGAUAAAGCAUCAUGACCACAAUUUGUUGUCUAAAAGCAGUAUUUAAGAUGGUAGCUACAUUUUAAUGAACAACUCCACUAAAGAUGCCUCAGGUUUUGUAGUUCUGCUGGGGGAUGGGAGAAACUAGGUUACACUGCUUUAAAUUUAGAAAAUUGCAGAGUGAUUCACAAACUUUGGCUCCCACUGCCUCCCGCAGUUUGGUUAGGCUCAUGUUUGAGCCUCCAGUAAGAAUCUUGCGCAGGGAAACAGGCAUGAAUUGCUUGGUCUUGGUGUCCCUGAUCUUUGGAAAUCCUGCUUGAGCAGACACGUGUCACUAUAUUAAGCAUUCAGUAUAUUAAAUACUAUAGAACUUCUUCUGGGCGUGAAAUUCUACAAACAAUAUUGCCUGUCUUUCUGAACAGAUAUUGUGGAGGCUGAUCUCACUAAAGGCUAGUUUGUUUUUUGCUAAUAUGCUUCUUGUCAUAGAGAAUGGGAGUGUAGUAUGAUCCUAUCUAGACAGCAUCUUAAAAAGCAGAGACAUCCCCUUGCCAACAAAGGUCCG